CUAAUAACUACUAAAAAGUGUUUUAAAAAACUCUUGCUGAUAUUAAGAACACCAAUCUCUAUUCUCUCCACAGAACCUAUAAAACCACACCACACAUAAAAGAAGGAAUGCCAUAUGUGACUCUCUUCUCGUCAGCACUGCUAAUCAUGAGGAUAAAUGCUGGCAGCCAGUGAUACAUCAUUCCCAACCUCACCCUCUGCAGAAGAUUGGUGAUUUUUUUUCUUUGGAGAAAAGGAAUAGCUCUAAGAAAAGACUUACAGAUAUUGAUAUUUGGAGGUACCCUAAUUGAUUAGCUUGCCAUUUGGGCUAAUUAUUGAAAAGUAAAAAUGAAAAAUAGAGAUCAAAACAAAUGAAAGAAUAUUAUAAACUUGAAAGAAACAUGACAAACCAGGAAACAUAAGAUAACUUUAAAAUUGCAACUUUGUUCCAUAUAUUUGGACAGAUAAAAAAUGGUAUUUCAUCUAUAAAAAAGAAUAGGGCAUUAGAAGAAUGAAACAAACAGAGGAAAAGAAAAGGCUUUCGAAAAUUAACAAAAAUAAACACUAGGAGAUCUGGAAAAAUAAAGCUAAG
rnacentral:lncRNA from 12 species